rnacentral:antisense_RNA from 1 species
UCUCUUUUAUUUUCUUUUAUACUUGUAUGAAGAAGCACAUUUAGGCAUGUCAUUUGAACUGUUUAU